GCAGUGUACCCGCGGCAAGACGGAAAGACCCCGUGAACCUUUACUAUAGCUUGACACUGAACACUGGUCCUUGAUGUGUAGGAUAGGUGGGAGGCUUUGAAGCGUGGACGCCAGUCUGCGUGGAGCCAUCCUUGAAAUACCACCCUUUAAUGGCUGGUGUUCUAACGUAGACCCGUUACCCGGGUUGCGGACAGUGUCUGGUGGGUAGUUUGACUGGGGCGGUCUCCUCCCAAAGAGUAACGGAGGAGCACGAAGGUUAGCUAAUCCUGGUCGGACAUCAGGAGGUUAGUGCAAUGGCAUAAGCUA
rnacentral:rRNA from 1 species